UACAGGGGGUGCAAACGUUGCUCGGAAUCACUGGGCGUAAAGCGCACGUAGGCGGCUUUUUAAGUCAGAGGUGAAAUCCUGGAGCUCAACUCCAGAACUGCCUUUGAUACUGGAGAGCUUGAGUCCGGGAGAGGUGAGUGGAACUGCGAGUGUAGAGGUGAAAUUCGUAGAUAUUCGCAAGAACACCAGUGGCGAAGGCGGCUCACUGGCCCGGUACUGACGCUGAGGUGCGAAAGCGUGGGGAGCAAACAGG
rnacentral:rRNA from 1 species